UUGGAGAAAUUUAAAAGACGAGAGAUUUAGACCAGAGUAUAAAGGAGCUGAUAAAAAAUAAUCAAGUUUUCCUUG